rnacentral:rRNA from 1 species
CGCGCAGGCGGCUGGUCAAGUCCGAUGUGAAAUCUCCCGGCUCAACUGGGAAACUGCAUCGGAAACUGAUCGGCUUGAAGGUGGGAGAGGGUAGUGGAAUUCCCGGUGUAGUGGUGAAAUGCGUAGAUAUCGGGAGGAACACCAGUGGCGAAGGCGACUACCUGGCCCAUUCUUGACGCUGAGGCGCGAAAGCUAGGGGAGCAACG